rnacentral:rRNA from 1 species
GGAUCAGUACGCUGGUCGUGCCUUUGGUAUGUACUGGUGUCACUGAUUCCUCCCUUCUGAAGAACCGUUAUACCAUUUAGUUGGUGUGGCGGGGAAUCAGGACUGUUACUUUGAAAAAAUUAGAGUGUUUAAAGCAAGCUCGCGCUUGAAUACAUUAGCAUGGAAUAAUAAAAUAGGACGUUUGAUCUCCUAUUUUGUUGGUUUCUAGGAUCGACGUAAUGAUUAAUAGGGAUAGUUGGG